GAUGAACGCUGGCGGCGUGCUUAACACAUGCAAGUCGAACGGAAGGGCCAUGCGUUUGUGGGGUGCCCGAUUGCGGAAGGGGGGAGUAAAACGUGUGUAUCAUGCCCUUGUCUUUGGGGGAACUUCAGGAAACUGGGGCUAAAACCGGAUAGGAGAUCUUGAACCACGGUGGGGGUUGGAAAGUUUCGGCGGUUGGGGAUGGACUCGCGGCUUACGAGCUUGUUGGUGGGGUAGUGGCUUACCAAGGCUUUGACGGGUAGCCGGCCUGAGAGGGUGACCGGCGACAUUGGGACUGAGAGACGGACCAGACUCCUACGGGAGGCAGCAGUGGGGAAUAUUGCACAAUGGGCGGAAGCCUGUUGCAGCAGCGCCGCGUGCGUGAUGACGGCCUUCGGGUUGUAAACCGCUUUCGCCUGUGACGAAGCGUGAGUGACGGUAAUGGGUAAAGAAGCACCGGCUAACUACGUG
rnacentral:rRNA from 1 species